CUGAGGUGCCUGCUUCUGGCUCCGGCUGCCCCUGCUCCUCCAGGCAGACCGGAGAGACCCUCCAGGAAUCCAGGAAUGAGGGGCAGGUUGAGAAGACACGAAUGGAUAAGAAAAAAACUCCACGACAGGCAGGGAAAGGGCCAAGGAGGCAAACGGACAAUACGCACAAGGAAAACCACAGAACCAGGCAUAUUCAUAAUCAAAGACAACAGUAAUAUGCAUCGGGGAUGUCUUCAAUUGAAUCUUCCUGAAGAGACCGAUCGGAGGCACAGCAGAGGUGAACAUGCAAAGCUGUUCAAGGGUACCUGGCUGGCUCCAUCGAAAGAGCAUGUGACUCCUGAUUUCUGGGCCGUGAGGUCCAGGCCCACGGUGGGUGUAGAGAUUACUCAAAUAAAUUAAAACUUAAAGUUGUUCAGGGCAGCAUUACUUACACUGGUGAGAAAGCAGAAAAAUACACAAACUGCAGCAAAGGAGAACAGCUAAAGAAAUUAUGGACAGAUUUACUAGGGAGUGAUACUUUA